rnacentral:piRNA from 2 species
UGUAAACGGUAGCUAAUUCGAGCGG